rnacentral:rRNA from 1 species
AAUAGAUACCCCGGUAGUCCUAGCCGUAAACAAUGGGUACUAGGUGUAGGUGGUUUCGAUACCAUCUGUGCCGCAGUUAACGCAAUAAGUACCCCGCCUGGGGAGUACGUUCGCAAGAAUGAAACUCAAAGGAAUUGACGGGGGCCCGCACAAGCGGUGGAGCAUGUGGUUUAAUUCGAAGCAACGCGAAGAACCUUACCAGGGCUUGACAUCCCUUGACAACCUCAGAGAUGAGGCUUCUCUUCGGAGCAAGGAGACAGGUGGUGCAUGGUUGUCGUCAGCUCGUGUCGUGAGAUGUUGGGUUAAGUCCCGCAACGAGCGCAACCCUAUUUUAGUUGCCAUCAUUAAGUUGGGCACUCUAAAGAGACUGCCGGUGACAAACCGGAGGAAGGUGGGGAUGACGUCAAAUCAUCAUGCCCCUUAUGUCCUGGGCUACACACGUGCUACAAUGGUCUGUACAGAGGGCAGCGAAGUGGCGACAUGGAGCGAAUCCCAGAAAACAGAUCUCAGUUCGGAUUGCAGG